rnacentral:rRNA from 1 species
UACGAAGGGGGCGAGCGUUGCGCGGAAUCACUGGGCGUAAAGCGCACGUAGGCGGAUUGUUAAGUCGGGGGGGAAAUCCUGGAGCUCAACUCCAGAACUGCCUUCGAUACUGACGAUCUCGAGUCCGGGAGAGGUGAGUGGAACUCCGAGUGUAGAGGUGAAAUUCGUAGAUAUUCGGAAGAACACCAGUGGCGAAGGCGGCUCACUGGCCCGGUACUGACGCUGAGGCGCGAAAGCUAGGGGAGCAAACGGG